rnacentral:rRNA from 1 species
UGUAACGCUGGGCCAGGCGGCGGGGUAAUACAGGGGGGGCAAGCGUUAUUUGGAAGUAGUGGGCGGAAAGGGCGGGUAGGCGGUUUCUUAAGGAGGAGGUGCAAUCCCCGGGCGCAACCCGGGAACUGCAUCCGAGACUGGGAGGCUAGAGUACUGGAGAGGUUGGUGGAAUUCCUCGUGUAGCGGUGAAAUGCGUAGAGAUGAGGAGGAACACCAGUGGCGAAGGCGGCCAACUGGACAGUAACUGACGCUGAGGUGCGAAAGCGUGGGUAGCAAACAGGAUUAGAUACCCGGGUAGUC